GAUCCUGGCUCAGGAUGAACGCUAGCUACAGGCUUAACACAUGCAAGUCGAGGGGAAACGACAUCGAAAGCUUGCUUUUGAUGGGCGUCGACCGGCGCACGGGUGAGUAACGCGUAUCCAACCUGCCCAUCACUUGGGAAUAACCUUGCGAAAGUAAGACUAAUGCCCAAUGAUAUCCCACGAAGGCAUCCGAAUGGGAUUAAAGAAUUUCGGUAGAGGAUGGGGAUGCGUUCCAUUAGGCAGUUGGG
rnacentral:rRNA from 1 species